GACGAACGCUGGCGGUGUGCUUAACACAUGCAAGUCGAACGGUAAGGCCCUUUCGGGGGUACACGAGUGGCGAACGGGUGAGUAACACGUGAGUAACCUGCCCUCAUCUCUGGGAUAACAGUCGGAAACGGUUGCUAAUACUGGAUAUGAGCUUGCAAGGCAUCUUGUGGGUUGGAAAGAUUUUUUUGGUUGGGGAUGGACUCGCGGCCUAUCAGCUUGUUGGUGAGGUAGUGGCUCACCAAGGCUUCGACGGGUAGCCGGCCUGAGAGGGCGACCGGCCACAUUGGGACUGAGAUACGGCCCAAACUCCUACGGGAGGCAGCAGAGGGGAAUAUUGCACAAUGGACGGAAGUCUGAUGCAGCAACGCCGCGUGCGGGAUGACGGCCUUCGGGUUGUAAACCGCUUUCAAUUGUGACGAAGCUUUUUGUGACGGUAGCAGUAGAAGAAGCACCGGCUAACUACGUG
rnacentral:rRNA from 1 species